CUUGAGUUCACAUUGAUUCGUCAGUUUUGCGAUCAUUCAGCGUCAUGCCUGAACCAGCCAAGUCCGCGCCUAAGAAGGGCUCCAAGAAGGCCGUCACGAAGACCGCCGGUAAGGGAGGAAAGAAGCGCAGAAAGUCCAGGAAGGAGAGCUACGCCAUCUACGUGUACAAAGUGCUGAAGCAGGUUCAUCCUGACACCGGCAUCUCCUCCAAGGCGAUGGGCAUCAUGAACUCUUUCGUCAACGACAUCUUCGAGCGCAUCGCCGGUGAGGCGUCUCGUCUCGCUCACUACAACAAGCGCUCCACCAUCACGUCGAGAGAGAUCCAGACCGCCGUGCGUCUGCUGCUGCCCGGUGAGCUGGCCAAACACGCCGUGUCUGAGGGCACCAAGGCCGUCACCAAGUACACCAGCUCCAAGUAGAGUCCCCGAGACUCUCACAGACCCAAAGGUUCUUUUAAGAGCCACCCAUCUACUCCGAUAAAAGAGAUUCUGAUGAUUUAAGUUAAUUAAAUGAUGGAAAAACUUAAAGUGCUGGGAUACGUUCCUCUUCUGCUACUGGGGAAGUGUUCAAAGGCCCAUAGGUGGACAGCGGAGGUCCAGUGUCCCUUUGAGUUCCCACCUGAGGGACAUAAGGUGAUGGAAAAAAUGCUCAUACUCUUUGAGCAUAUUUUACAAGGUUUUGGUCCAGAAAAAGAACAAGAGGUCACAGAAGGUAAUGAAGCAGAAAGGCAGGACUUGAAAGAGACUGUAGAAGAUGAAGAGGACAUUACACUGGAGAACAAUGUAGAAGUGGAAAGACUGGAGGAUGAAGAGCAGAUCGAAGAACAACAGACAGAAAGUGGGGAGGAAGAACCAGAGAGGCCUGUUGAGGAACAGAGUUUCAAAAGUCCAGAAAAAGAACAAGAGGACACAGAGGGUGAUAGGACAGAGAGUCAGGACAUAAACGAGGCUGUAGAAGAUGAAGAGAACAUUUUAUCAGAGAACAAUGUAGAAUUGAGGAUGAAGGAAAGAUUGGAGGAUGAAGAGCAGAUCGAAGAACAACAGACAGAAAGUGGGGAGGAAGAACCAGAGAGGCCUGUUGAGGAACAGAGUUUCAAAAGUCCAGAAAAAGAACAAGAGGACACAGAGGGUGAUAGGACAGAGAGUCAGGACAUAAACGAGGCUGUAGAAGAUGAAGAGAACAUUUUAUCAGAGAACAAUGUAGAAUUGAGGAUGAAGGAAAGAUUGGAGGAUGAAGAGCAGAUCGAAGAACAACAGACAGAAAGUGGGGGGGAGAACCAGAUAGGCCUGUUAAUGAAGAAGGGGAAAUGAAAGUGACAAAAAAGACUAAACAGGCAAAGGAAAUGAAGAAACAGGCAGAGAAACAAAAGAUUAGUGCACUUAAGAUGGAUGAAAUGGAUGAAAGAAAAGAGAUAGAGGGAGUCGUAUUAAAACCAGAUGGCAAAUCAGCUGUCAACAUGGCAGCCAAAAGAAAGCGCCAAAAAAAUACAGACACAGAAUGUCCAUUCCAUGCGUCUCUGGAUGUAUUUCCAGUGGAAUUUGUAUCUAAGACACGUCUCAGAAAGGGACGUAAGGAAGUGCUGGUGCAUUGGUUGCCAUGUCCAUCCUGUAGGAAGACAUGGCCACCCACCUGGCAGCCUGAAGAUCAUGUCCAAAUUACACUUACUCAAUGCUAAUUACAUUACUGGUACAUUAUGACCGUUUUUUUGUUUGUUUGUUUUUGAGCCACUGUUAUAGUGGACAAAUAAAGGUUUGUGUUUUCA